rnacentral:rRNA from 1 species
GAUGAACGCUGGCGGCGUGCUUAACACAUGCAAGUCGAGCGAAGCGGCUGAAUUGAUUCUUCGGAUGAUUUUCAGUUGACUGAGCGGCGGACGGGUGAGUAACGCGUGGGUGACCUGCCCCAUACCGGGGGAUAACAGCUGGAAACGGCUGCUAAUACCGCAUAAGCGCACAGAGCUGCAUGGCUCGGUGUGAAAAACUCCGGUGGUAUGGGAUGGGCCCGCGUCUGAUUAGGCAGUUGGCGGGGUAACGGCCCACCAAACCGACGAUCAGUAGCCGGCCUGAGAGGGCGACCGGCCACAUUGGGACUGAGACACGGCCCAAACUCCUACGGGAGGCAGCAGUGGGGAAUAUUGCACAAUGGGGGAAACCCUGAUGCAGCGACGCCGCGUGAGCGAAGAAGUAUUUCGGUAUGUAAAGCUCUAUCAGCAGGGAAGAUAAUGACGGUACCUGACUAAGAAG